rnacentral:misc_RNA from 1 species
UUUCCGUAGGUGAACCUGCGGAAGGAUCAUUGUCGAAACCUGCCCAGCAGAACGACCCGCGAACUUGUAUAAACAACUGGGGGCGGGGGGCGUUCUCGCCCCGUGCCCCCGAACGGCGGGGAGACACUCGUGCCUUCUUGCCGAACAACGAACCCCGGCGCGGUCUGCGCCAAGGAACUUCAACUAAAGAGUGCCUCCGGUCGCCUCGGAAACGGCGUGCGUGCCGGAGGCGGAUCUUGUGCAAAACCAUAACGACUCUCGGCAACGGAUAUCUCGGCUCUC